rnacentral:rRNA from 1 species
CCUUCGGGGUACUCGAGCGGCGAACGGGUGAGCUAACACCGGGAGCAACCCCGCCCCUUAGGCUUUGGGGAUAACCCUCGGAAAAGGGGGCUUAAUACCGGGAUACAACCCUUUGGGUGCCCUAAAACUGGGGGUGGAAAAUUUUUCGGGCCUGGGAAUGGGCUCGCGGGCCUAUUCAGCUUGUUGGUGGGGGUGAUGGCCUAACCAAGGCGACGAACGGGUAGCCCGCCCUGAGAGGGCGACCGGCCACCACUGGGACUGAGACACGGGCCCAGACUCCUACGGGAAGGCAGCAGUGGGGAAUAUUGCACAAUGGGCGGAAGCCUGAUGCAGCGACGCCGCGUGAGGGAUGACGGCCUUCGGGUUGUAAACCUCUUUCAGCAGGGACGAAGCGCAAGUGACGGUACCUGCAGAAGAAGCGCCGGCCAACUACGUGCCAGCAGCCGCGGUAAGACGUAGGGCGCGAGCGUUGUCCGGAUUUAUUGGGCGUAAAGAGCUCGUAGGCGGCUUGUCGCGUCGACCGUGAAAACUUGGGGCUCAACCCCAAGCCUGCGGUCGAUACGGGCAGGCUAGAGUUCGGUAGGGGAGACUGGAAUUCCUGGUGUAGCGGUGAAAUGCGCAGAUAUCAGGAGGAACACCGGUGGCGAAGGCGGGUCUCUGGGCCGAUACUGACGCUGAGGAGCGAAAGCGUGGGGAGCGAACAGGAUUAGAUACCCUGGUAGUCCACGCUGUAAACGUUGGGCGCUAGGUGUGGGGGGCCUCUCCGGUUCUCUGUGCCGCAGCUAACGCAUUAAGCGCCCCGCCUGGGGAGUACGGCCGCAAGGCUAAAACUCAAAGGAAUUGACGGGGGCCCGCACAAGCGGCGGAGCAUGCGGAUUAAUUCGAUGCAACGCGAAGAACCUUACCUGGGUUUGACAUGGCCGCAAAACCUUCAGAGAUGAGGGGUCCUUCGGGGGCGGUCACAGGUGGUGCAUGGCUGUCGUCAGCUCGUGUCGUGAGAUGUUGGGUUAAGUCCCGCAACGAACGCAACCCUCGUUCGAUGUUGCCAGCGCGUUAUGGCGGGGACUCAUCGAAAACUGCCGGGGUCAACUCGGAAGAAAGGUGGGGAAUAACGUCAAGUCAUCAUGCCCCUUUAUGUCCAGGGCUUCACCCAAGCCAAAAAGGGCCGGUACAAUGGGCUGCGAAAACCGUGAGGUGGAGCGAAUCCCAAAAAGCCGGUCUCAGUUCGGAUCGGGGUCUGCAACUCGACCCCGUGAAGUCGGAGUCGCUAGUAAUCGCAGAUCAGCAACGCUGCGGUGAAUACGUUCCCGGGCCUUGUACACACCGCCCGUCACGUCACGAAAGUCGGCAACACCCGAAGCCG